GGGGAAUAUUGCGCAAUGGGGGAAACCCUGACGCAGCAAUACCGCGUGAGUGAAGAAGGUUUUCGGAUCGUAAAGCUCUGUUAUUGGGGAAGAAAAAAAGACGGUACCCAAGAAGAAAGUCCCGGCUAACUACGUGCCAGCAGCCGCGGUAAUACGUAGGGAGCGAGCGUUGUCCGGAAUUACUGGGCGUAAAGGGUGCGUAGGCGGCCAGGCAAGUCAGAUGUGAAAUCCCCGGGCUUAACUCGGGAGUUGCAUUUGAAACUGCUUGGCUUGAGUGCAGGAGAGGAAAGCGGAAUUCCUAGUGUAGCGGUGAAAUGCGUAGAUAUUAGGAGGAACACCAGAGGCGAAGGCGGCUUUCUGGACUGUAACUGACGCUGAGGCACGAAAGCGUGGGGAGCAAACA
rnacentral:rRNA from 2 species